rnacentral:rRNA from 1 species
UGCAAGUCGAACGAUGAAGGGAGCUUGCUCCUGGAUUAGUGGCGAACGGGUGAGUAACACGUGAGUAACCUGCCCUUGACUCUGGGAUAAGCCUGGGAAACUGGGUCUAAUACCGGAUAUGACCUUCCAUCGCAUGGUGGUUGGUGGAAAGCUUUUGUGGUUUUGGAUGGACUCGCGGCCUAUCAGCUUGUUGGUGGGGUAAUGGCCUACCAAGGCGACGACGGGUAGCCGGCCUGAGAGGGUGACCGGCCACACUGGGACUGAGACACGGCCCAGACUCCUACGGGAGGCAGCAGUGGGGAAUAUUGCACAAUGGGCGCAAGCCUGAUGCAGCGACGCCGCGUGAGGGAUGACGGCCUUCGGGUUGUAAACCUCUUUCAGUAGGGAAGAAGCGAGAGUGACGGUACCUGCAGAAGAAGCGCCGGCUAACUACGUGCCAGCAGCCGCGGUAAUACGUAGGGCGCAAGCGUUAUCCGGAAUUAUUGGGCGUAAAGAGCUCGUAGGCGGUUUGUCGCGUCUGCCGUGAAAGUCCGGGGCUCAACUCCGGAUCUGCGGUGGGUACGGGCAGACUAGAGUGAUGUAGGGGAGACUGGAAUUCCUGGUGUAGCGGUGAAAUGCGCAGAUAUCAGGAGGAACACCGAUGGCGAAGGCAGGUCUCUGGGCAUUAACUGACGCUGAGGAGCGAAAGCAUGGGGAGCGAACAGGAUUAGAUACCCUGGUAGUCCAUGCCGUAAACGUUGGGCACUAGGUGUGGGGGACAUUCCACGUUUUCCGCGCCGUAGCUAACGCAUUAAGUGCCCCGCCUGGGGAGUACGGCCGCAAGGCUAAAACUCAAAGGAAUUGACGGGGGCCCGCACAAGCGGCGGAGCAUGCGGAUUAAUUCGAUGCAACGCGAAGAACCUUACCAAGGCUUGACAUGAACCGGAAAGAUCUGGAAACAGGUCCCCCACUUGUGGUCGGUUUACAGGUGGUGCAUGGUUGUCGUCAGCUCGUGUCGUGAGAUGUUGGGUUAAGUCCCGCAACGAGCGCAACCCUCGUUCUAUGUUGCCAGCACGUGAUGGUGGGGACUCAUAGGAGACUGCCGGGGUCAACUCGGAGGAAGGUGGGGACGACGUCAAAUCAUCAUGCCCCUUAUGUCUUGGGCUUCACGCAUGCUACAAUGGCCGGUACAAAGGGUUGCGAUACUGUGAGGUGGAGCUAAUCCCAAAAAGCCGGUCUCAGUUCGGAUUGGGGUCUGCAACUCGACCCCAUGAAGUCGGAGUCGCUAGUAAUCGCAGAUCAG